GACCAAACUUGGUCUCUUAAGGAAAACAAACUAACUGUUUGAGGGUUUUGGGUUUACAAUGAAUGCUUCUAAGAAUGCUAAGGUAAACACAAUAAGAACGAUUGAAGAAAGAUUGCUAAGAGAAUAUUGAAUGGUUGCUUGAGCUUGCACAAAGUUUCUUAGCGUCUUCUUCCAACUUCAGCCUCUAUUUAUACUCCAAGGAUUAGGGUUGUUUUCGUUUUUUGAAAUGCUACCGUUGGAGGAGAAAUCCGGAACUUCCAGAUUCUGCUGUGGCUGAACAUCUUAGGUAAGGUCGUCAGGAUAGUACAAUUGCUUUUGUACUUGGAUAGCGACAUGAGCCUUAUCCUAGUUGACUUAUGAUCAAACGACGCUUCAUCUUGGAACUUGUGAAGCUUGGUGAUCAGAGUCAGAGGGAAGGUUGGAUCCUCUGACCUUCGUAUCUUCUGCUUCUGGACAUCAGAGUUGGAAGUACUUGGUCUUCAGAGCCAGCUUACUCUUGGACUUCAGAGUCUUCACUUCUUAGCUUCUAGACCUUCAGAACUUCUGGACCUUCAGAGCCUCUGGACUUUCAGAGCCUCUGGACCUUCAGAGCUUCUGGUCUUCAGAACUUUAAGUGAUCUGAAUCCACAUCAGAGCUUAUCAUCUUUAGAGCUUCUGAAGCAUAUACUACUGUCCAAUCAGAACAUAGUGAGUGCGAAAGCGUUGCGUUGGUUACUCUUUGAGCUAAAUGCUUCUGAUAAUUGUGAGUAUUGACUAGAGUCAGAGUCUGUCAUUUAAACACUCAGAGAACAAUGUUAGAGUACCAUAGUGUUUCAUACACAAUAGUUAACAUGUAAUCAUCAAAACAUAGAGUUGUACUACAUGACCAAAUCUUGGUCUUACAACUUUAUCGACAUAUUUCGUAGAAGAAUUCAUUAAACAAGGUAACCCUCAUAUCACUUCAUUCAAUCAACAAGAAGGCAUAAUAUCACACAGUCACAUAUUCUCAUGCAUAGGAAGGAAAUAAGAACCUAUUCCUAAGAAAGGUUGCCCUCACCUUAGCCUUAUUCGAAAGAUGAAAGAAAAUAGUUGAUGGUUCUGGUCUCUUAGUGUCACGAAUACUUCGAUCUAGCCCUUGAUGAGUCACGAAUCUCUUCUCCUUCUUAAUCCUUAGUCACGCACACUUUUUCUCUCUAAGCUCUUGGUGUUUAAAAUCCUUAUUUUGGUGAAUGGUGAGAAUGAUAACUUAGGUUUUUGCCUCUCUUGAGUUAUCUAUUUAUACUAAACCACCAAGUCUUCACAAAUUUUCAAAACUUAACCUAAUAGCCCCCCCCUUGGCGCUUGACCUCUGCUCACUAAAACGUGAAUAACACGAGUUACAGAGGUCGGAAUGACAUGAAGUCAAAAGGAGAAUUUAGAUAACAAAGAGAGCUACAAUUCUUAUGAAGGACGUUUCUUUAGAUUAGGUCGUUAAGACCACUCUAAAAAUCAUUCAAAAUCACGUAAUAUUCUCAAAACAAACUCAAUUUUUUUUUUUUGAAAACCAAAUCUUUCUUCACAAGUUGUUGUAACAACCAAAAACAAAUCCAAAUUUAAUCUUUUCAUUCUCUAACCAAUUCUAAUCAGAAUCAAAUCUCCUUAACCUCAAAUUAAAUCUGAACAGAAUCUGAUUAAUUAAUUAAUUCACCGCUACUUCUAUCAUUCUAAAAAUAAUAAAAUCUCCUCACACACUCAGUAAAAAAUCACGAGAUCCCUAACUUGACCUGGGCAAGCAUCACGAAAUUUACACUAUGCACCCAAGCACAUUCACACUUCACACUUUACGCAAUAGUUAUUAAUUACGCAAAACUCUCCUGAUUAAUAAUCAGAAAUCACAUCUCAAGGUAAAAAUACCCAAAUAGCAGAAAUUGGAUAGAAUCAACCAAAUCAGAUGGAGUAAAAACAGUAACUGUAAUUACUGAAAAUUCACUAAAUAUUAUUUAUCAUAAAUAAUAUUCACACACAAGUAGAACAGUAACUAUAAAGUUACUGAAAUACUAAAAUCACACAAAUCAAGUAAAUCACAUCACACUACUUGCAAGCAAUUAAUCACAUCCUAAUCUCAUGUCACUAAGUAAAGCAACAAUAAUCACGAUCUCAUAUGCAUGAUGCAAGAAUCAUAUCAUACAAGUCUCAUAGAGAAUAGGAUUUCACUUUUCACAUGUUAUCAUGCUAGUCAACAAUCACUUAAGCAUAUAUUACUUAAGAAAGUAGGGUUUCGUGAGCCUAGCAUCAUGAUGAUCACCAAACCAUUGAGCAUUCAAAGACUUAGAAGGUUUCAAGAAAAUUUGGGUUUGGGUGUCACCCUCAUGCUUUUCUUCACAAAACUCCCACAAUAUGCAUAGAUUAAGUCACGCAUACACCGCACAUCAUAGCAUCAUCUCACAUCAUUCACACACAUCAUGUUCUUAAUGAAAGAAAUCAUAAAACAUGGCAACACACACCUCACUUCAUAAAACAUGCUUCGUAGAAGAAAUCGUAGAACAUGGUAACACUCAUAUCACUUUUGAAGGUAUGAAAAAUGAUUGAAGGGGGGUUUGAAUAGCGUUUUCAACUAAAAACUUUUCCCUCUUGAGAUUUAGAUAAAUCUCUCGAACAAACAACACAAGGUACAAAGAUAAGAGAUGAAGAGAAGCACACAAGUAUUUUAUCCUGGUUCACUUGAUAAUCGCUCAAGCUAGUCCAGUCCACCCGUUAAGGUGAUUUCUUCCUUCUUAGAAUGAAGGCAAUCCACUAUUUAAUGUUUGUUACAACUGCACUAGCAACCUGCUCAGUGACUAACAAUACAAUGAACUAGCAAACACUAAGAUUCACUCUCUUAGUAUUCUCAAGGAGCUGACCAAACUUGGUCCCUUAAGGCAAACAAACUGACUGUUUGAGGGUUUUGGGUUUACAAUGAAUGCUUCUAAGAAUGCUAAGGUAAACACAAUAAGAACGAUUGAAGAAAGAUUGCUAAGAGAAUAUUGAAUGGUUGCUUGAGCUUGCACAAAGUUUCUUAGCGUCUUCUUCCAACUUCAGCCUCUAUUUAUACUCCAAGGAUUAGGGUUGUAUUCGUUGUUUGAAAUGCUACCGUUGGAGG
rnacentral:lncRNA from 1 species